AAUUCAUGUUGUGUUGUCAAUGUUGAGCUACCAGAUCUAUUGAAAUGAGAUCAGUGCGUGACUUGGACAGGAGCUGAGUACCAUCACCUCAAAUGUAUAUUGUUUGAGCUCAUGUUCCUCUUAUAGAAUAUUAGCUCAACAGUAUUGUGUAGCUCCUGCACCUAGAUUUAAAGAAUAUUUUUUGAGAGUAAAGAAAGUGCCAGAACUGAUAAGACAAUAACUUUAGUCUUUUUCUCUUUAUUACUACAGGCCGACUCAGAUUAAGUCUGAGGCCGGUAACAUAAACAGUGAGGACAAACGCAGCCUGCCUCUCUCCUUCCAAACUGAGUCCAAACCUACAGUCACUGGGUCCUGAUUGUGACAGUGGAGCCCAGUUUGCACUACAGGAUCCAGAGAUGGCAUCAGUGAAGCUGGAAGACUGCAGUCCAACAAUGGAGCUGAAUAUUGACAUUAAAGAUGAAGAAGAGGAGGAGAAGAUUGGGGGAUCUGUUAGUCAUGGUAUGAGGCCGGUAACAUCAACAGUGAGGACAAACCCAGCCUGCCUCUCUCCUUCCACAGUGAGUCCAAACCUACAGUCACUGGGUCCUGAUUGUGACAGUGGAGCCCAGUUUACACUGCAGGAUCCAGAGAUGGCAUCAGUGAAGCUGGAAGACUGCAGUCAAACACUGGAGCUGAAUGUCAACAUUAAAGAUGAAGAAGAAGACGAGGAGAAGAUUGGGAAAUCUGUUUCUCAUGGACGACUAGAAUUAAGUCUGAAGCCGGUAACAUCAACAGUGAGGACAAACCCAGCCUGCAUCUCUCCUUCCACACUGAGUAGGAACCUACAGUCACUGGGUCCUGAUUGUGACAGUAGAGCUCAGUUUGCUCUGCAGGAUCCAGAGAUGGCAUCAGUGAAGCUCGAAUGCGGUCAAACACUGGAGAAGAUUGUCAACAUUAAAGAUGAAGAAGAGGAGGAGCAGAUUGGGAAAUCUCUUUCUCAUGGUAAGAGCAGGUUAUAUCUAACAAAGUUUGUUGUUCAUUCCAACUUCUCACUGUGCAGGAAAAGUUGCAGUAGAACUGUUUCAUGAUGAACUGUUUCAAUGAGAAGGUAGAUGUUAUUUCAUGCUACUGACACUUGCAUGGUUUGACAUCAGUAUUGCCACCAUUUGUUUUAUUUACUGAGCUGUCUGGAGUGAUCAGAGAGUAGACUAAAGAAGUGAAGUAGACAAACUGCCAGUGUUUUAAAGUUCUAUGAAAUUAGUUUGUGUAGUUACUAACCCUUGUGAUAGUGAGUGGAGGACUCUAACCCACUUUUAGAAUAGUUUUAUUCCACUAUAUUGUACAGCCUACUGAUAUGAAUACAUAUGUCACCCGGUACAGACAGAAGAGGACUGGCCACCCCUCUGGGUCUGGUUCCUCUCUACCCUGCAGGACCCUGCUUUCUAGGGAGUUUUUCCUGGCCACUGUGCUUCUACAUCAGCAUUGCUCAUUGGGGAUUUUAGACUGGGUUUCUGUUAUGCACUUUGAUAUUUGCUGAUGUAAAACGGGCUUCAUAAUGUACAUUUGAUUGACAUGUAUAUCACACCAGCUGACUGCUUCUUCUGAUGUUGUUCACACAGGAGACCAUGUUGAGACAUUCUCUACAUCCAGAGAGAAAGAGCAGGAAGAUCAUGGAGCUAAGAGGUCUCACCACUGCCCACAUUGUGAUGAGAUUUUCCCAAUUCUAUCAAAGCUAAAAAUACACACAGGAGAGGAUCCGUAUUCCUGUACUGACUGUGGGAAGAGAUUCACAACAUCAAGGGCUCUGACAGUUCAUCAGAGAGUGCACCCUGGAGAGAAGCCUUACUCCUGCCCUGACUGUGGAAAGAUUUUCUCUCGACUGGGCCACUUAAAAAGACACAAACAUAUACAUACAGGAGUGAAGCCUUACUCUUGCUCUGACUGUGUAAAAUGCUACACAACAUCAUCUGAGCUAAAACUUCAUCAGAGAGUGCACACUGGAGAGAAGCCUUACUCCUGCUAUGACUGUGGGAAGAGUUUCUCUCGACAGGGUUUUUUAAAAGCACAUGAACUUAUACAUACAGGAGUGAAGCCUUAUUCCUGCUCUGACUGUGGGAAGAUAUUCUCUCAACUGGGCCACUUAAAAAGACAUGAACGUAUACAUACAGGAGUGAAGCCUUACUCCUGCUCUGACUGUGGGAAGAUUUUCUCUCAACUGGGCCACUUAAAAAGACAUGAACGUAUACAUACAGGAGAGAAGCCUUACUCCUGCUCUGACUGUGGGAAGAUUUUCUCUCAACUGGGCCACUUAAAAAGACAUGAACGUAUACAUACAGGAGUGAAGCCUUACUCCUGCUCUGACUGUGUAAAAUGCUUCACAACAUCAACUGAGCAAAAAGUCCACCACAGAACACACACAGGAGAGAAGCCUUACUCCUGCUCUGACUGUGUAAAAUGCUUCACAACAUCAACUGAACUAAAAGUCCAUCAGAGAACACACACAGGCGAGAAGCCUUACUUCUGCUCUGACUGUGGAAAGAGUUUCUCUCAAUUGUGCCACUUAAAAAGACACCAAGGUAAACAUGAAGGAGAGAAGCCUUGCCACUGAUCUGACUGUUGAAAAUGUUUUAAAACAGCCAAGCUAAAAGGUCAUCAGAGAACAGACACAGGAGAGAAGCCUUAUAACUCUUCUUAAUUUGCCAAGAGUAACUUGAUUGAAAGUCAAAGUAUUUGGUUGUAAAUAUACCUUAGUAUCAAAAGUAAAAGUGAAUCAUUUAAAAUUCCUUAAAUGAACCUUUACGCGAUGGGUGUCCCUUAACCGGGACGGUUGUUGCUAACUUCUCCAAUGUGACUAGAAUUAUGUUGUAUACAACAGCCAACUUUCCAGGACAUAGACAUGUCUUUACAGUGGGGCAAAAAAGUAUUUAGUCAGCCACCAAUUGUGCAAGUUCUCCCACUUAAAAAGAUGAGAGGCCUGUAAUUUUCAUCAAAGGUACACUUCAACUAUGACAGACAAAAUGAGAAAAAAAAUCCAGAAAAUCACUUUGUAGGCUUUUUUAAGGAAUUUAUUUGCAAAUUAUGGUGGAAAAUAAGUAUUUGGUCACCAACAAACAAGCAAGAUUUCUGGCUCUCGCAGACCUGUAACUUCUUCUUUAAGAGGCUCCUCUGUCCUCCACUCGUUACCUGUAUUAAUGGCACCUGUUUGAACUUGUUAACAGUAUAAAAUACCCUGUCCACAACCUCAAACAGUCACACUCCAAACUCCACUAUGGCCAAGACCAAAGAGCUGUCAAAGCUGUCAAAAUUGUAGACCUGCACCAGGCUGGGAAGACUGAAUCUGCAAUAGGUAAGCAGCUUAGUUUGAAGAAAUCAACUGUGGGAGCAAUGAUUAGGAAAUGGAAAACAUACAAGACCACUGAUAAUCUCCCUCGAUCUGGGGCUCCACGCAAGAUCUCACCCCAUGGGGUCAAAAUGAUCACAAGAACGGUGAGCAAAAAUUCCAGAACCACACGGGGGGAUCUAGUGAAUGACCUGCAGAGAGCUGGGACCAAAGUAACAAAGCCUACCAUCAGUAACACACUACGCCGCCAUGGAAUCAAAUCCUGCAGUGCCAGACGUGUCCCCCUGCUUAAGCCAGUACAUGUCCAGGCCCGUCUGAAGUUUGCUAGAGAGCAUUUGGAUGAUCCAGAAGAAGAUUGGGAGAAUGUCAUAUGGUCAGAUGAAACCCAAAGAUAACUUUUUGGUAAAAACUCGUCGUGUUUGUAGGACAAAGAAUGCUGAGUUGCAUCCAAAGAACACCAUACUUACUGUGAAGCAUGGGGGUGGAAACAUCAUGCUUUGGGGCUGUUUUUCUGCAAAGGGACCAGGACGACUGAUCCGUGUAAAGGAAAGAAUGAAUGGGGCUAUGUAUCGUGAGAUUUUGAGUGAAAACCUCCUUCCAUCAGCAAGGGCAUUGAAGAUGAAACGUGGCUGGGUCUUUCAGCAUGACAAUGAUCCCAAACACACCGCCCGGGCAACGAAGGAGUGGCUUCGUAAGAAGUAUGUCAAAGUCCUGGAGUGGCAGUGCCAGUCUCCAGAUCUCAACCCCAUAGAAAAUCUUUGGAGGGAGUUGAAAGUCCGUGUUGCCCAGCAACAGCCCCAAAACAUCACUGCUCUAGAGGAGAUCUGCAUGGAGGAAUGGGCCAAAAUACCAGCAACAGUGUGUGAAAACUUACAGAAAACGUUUGGCCUCUGUCAUUGCCAACAAAGGGUAUAUAACAAAGUAUUGAGAAACUUUUGUUAUUGACCAAAUACUUAUUUUCCACCAAAAUUUGCAAAUAAAUUCAUUAAAAAUCCUACAAUGUGAUUUUCUGGAUUUUUUUUCUCUCAUUUUGUCUGUCAUAGUUGAAGUGUUACAGGCCUCUCAUCUUUUUAAGUGGGAGAACUUGCACAAUUGGUGGCUGACUAAAUACUUUUUUGCCCCACUGUAUAUAGGCAGAAAGCUUAAAUUCUUGUUAAUCUUCUGCAGUGUCCAAUUUAACAGUAGCUAUUACAGUGACAAAAUACCGUGCUAUUUUUUGAGGAGAGUGCACAACUUUUAUCAUGGCAACUGGUAUAAUACAUUCACCUCUGAAGGUCAAUAAUGUACUUGCAUUCAGUAAUAUUGCUCUGAUUUGUCAUCCUGAGGGAGAUUAAAUAAUAAAAAGAUCAAAUGUAGCAUAGUUUAAUUUGCUUAAAUUGUAUUUUUAUGUUCAAAUGUAGCAACUGGUUCUACAUUUUGAACCCCUGUUGUCUCUGGCUCCACACCCACCCUGCCCAGCCAUCUAGCUGUGGAAGUUAGUGAAUAAGCUAAUGAUCCAUCAUGUAUAAAAUUCCUGUCGUGUGUAAACUUAAAUGUUUUAUUACCAUAGCAUUUUUAUAUGUUCUCUAUAGUUUUGUACUUAAAUGUAUCAAUUGACCAAUUCAGCACAUUUGGGGAAACUCCUGGCAGACUUGAUGCAGUGCAGUAAUGUAAUUCUUUACUGGAUCAGUCAGAAACUUUGCACACUGCAAAAAUCUAAAUUACACCUAGACUCCUAUCUGAAAGUAUGUAUUUUCCUGUUAUUUUC
rnacentral:lncRNA from 1 species